rnacentral:snoRNA from 1 species
AAACCAUGAUGGGGACACUGGUUGAUGUAGCUUCUAAAUCUUUCCCAUGCUUCACCAAAGAUAUCAUUGGUGUGUUGGGUAAAGUUUGAGAUUUGAUUCCUCAGCUU